rnacentral:rRNA from 1 species
UCCAGUUUAUCCUGCUGGCGGAUACUGCUAUCUGGUUUAUAAUUAGGCAUGCAAGUUUGAUCGCAAGAUCGGCGGACUGCUUAGUAACACGUAGCUAACCUACCUUUAGGUUAAGGAUAGCCUCGGGAAACUGAGGGUAAUACUUAAUAGGAAAUAAUCACUGGAAUGUUUUAUUUCUGAAACUAGAGCCUAAAGAUGGGGCUGCGGCUGAUUAGGUUGUUGUUGGUGUAAAAGACUAACAAGCCGAUGAUCAGUAAGGGCUUUUAGCGGAGAGGCCCUAAGAAGGAAUCUGAGACACUAUUCCUAGUCCUACGGGGUGCAGCAGCUGAGGAAAUUUUACAAUGCACGCAAGUGUGAUAGAAUAAGCCAGAGUGUUUCUCUUAGAGAAACUUUUGUUAACUGUAAAAAGGUUGACGAAUAAGGACUGGGCAAGACCGGUGCCAGCCGCCGCGGUAAUACCGGCGGUCCGAGUAGUAUCCACAUUUAUUGGGUCUAAAACAUUCGUAGCUUGUUUUGUCAGUCUCUUGUGAAAUCUCAUGUCUCAAGCAUGAGUCGUGCAAGAGAUACUGCAAUACUAGAGACCGGAAGAUGCAAAGAGUAUGGCCAAGGUAACGGUAAAAUGUGUUAAUCUUGGUUAGACUAACAAUGGCGAAGGCACUUUGCAAGUACGGAUCUGACAGUGAGGGAUGAAGGCUAGGGUCGCAAAAGGGAUUAGAUACCCCUGUAGUCCUAGCAGUAAACACUGUUCACUAAACAUCGGUACCUCCUCGAGAGGUGUCGGUGCUGUAGGGAAGCCGUAGAGUGAACUACCUGGGAAGUAUAGUCGCAAGGUCGAAACUUAAAGGAAUUGGCGGGGAGACACUACAACGAGUGACGCGUGCGGUUCAAUUAGAUUCCACACCGUGAACCUUACCAGGAGCGACAGCAGAAUGAAGGUCAGUCUAAAGGGCUUACCUGACGCGCUGAGAGGAGCUGCAUGGCCGACAUAAGCCUGUGCCGUGAGGUGACUUGUUAAAUCAAGUAACAGGCGAGACCCUCGUGACUAAUUUCUAAUUAUAGCACAUUAGUCAGACUGCCUUGGUAACAAGGAGGAAGGUGGGGGCGAUGUUAGGUGAGUACAGCCCGAAUCCCCUGGGCAACACGCGCGCGGCAAUGUUUGAUUCAAUGAGAUGCGACUCUGAAAAGAGAAGCUAAUCUCCUAAAGUCAAGCUUAGUACAGAUUGAGGUUUGUAAUCCAGCCUCAUGACGAUGGAAUCCGUAGUAAUCGUUUUUUAUCAGAGAACGGUGAAUAUGUCACGGCCUCUUGCACACACUGCCCGUCAAACCAACCGAGUUGUGCUUUGGUGAAGUCCUUCGGGAACGAACCUCGGUAUGAUAAGGUAGGUUAAGUCGUCACAAGGUAUCUGUAGGGGAACCUGC